UGCCAACCGGGUGUCUGUACUAAGUUCGGCAUCAAUAUGAUGACCUCCCAGGAGCAGGCGGCCACCAGGUUGCCUAAGGAUGAGUGAACUGGCCCAGAUCAGAAAGGGAGCAGGUCAGAACUCCUGCACCAACUGGUAGUGUGACUGUGCCUGGGCA
rnacentral:SRP_RNA from 1 species